AGUGAACGCUGGCGGCGUGCCUAAUACAUGCAAGUCGAACGGAGUGGCUCACGGGUGGGUAAUGUAUAGCUAAUCUGCCCUACACUAGAGGACAACAGCUGGAAACGACUGCUAAUACUCCAUACUGUCGGAGGAGGCUAGAUUGGAUCAGCGAGUUGGUGAGGUAAUGGCUACCCAAGGCUAUGACGCAUAACUGGUCUGAGAGGAUGAUCAGUCACACUGGAACUGAGACACGGUCCAGACUCCUACGGGAGGCAGCAGUAGGGAAUAUUGCUCAAUGGGGGAAACCCUGAAGCAGCAACGCCGCGUGGAGGAUGACACUUGUCGGAGCGGAAACUCCUUUUGUUAGGGAAACGGUACCUAACGAAUAAGCACCGGCUAACUCCGUGCCAGCAGCCGCGGUAAUAC
rnacentral:rRNA from 1 species